rnacentral:piRNA from 1 species
UAUUGUUUACCUUUUAAUGGGUUCUGGGUC